AAACUUACCUGGCUGGGCCUCGGGGGCGCUCAAGAAGGCCCCUGUGCUGUCGUGGAGCUCCCAUUGCAUUCGGGGGUACGUGAAGCGGCAUGGGGGGGCUAUGCUCCUGCCAACAGCGGAAUUUCUGGCAGAGCUGGCUUGCGUUCGCGCAGCCGGCA
rfam:Vitrella brassicaformis CCMP3155 genome assembly, contig: scaffold114